rnacentral:tRNA from 1 species
GCCCCGGUAGCCUAGCCUGGAUAAGGCGACAGCCUCCUAAGCUGUAGAUCCCGGGUUCAAAUCCCGGCCGGGGCA